rnacentral:rRNA from 1 species
GACAGAGGGGGCAAGCGUUGUCCGGAGUAACUGGGCGUAAAGCGCCCGCAGGUGGUCGGGCAAGUGCGCUGUGAAAGCCCGCGGCUUAACCGCGGGAGGCCAGUGCAGACUGCACGACUGGAGCGAUGCAGAGGGUGGUGGAAUUGCCGGUGUAGUGGUGAAAUGCGUAGAGAUCGGCAGGAACACCAAGGGGGAAGCCAGCCACCUGGGCAUCGGCUGACACUGAGGGGCGACAGCGUGGGGAGCCAACUGG